CGCACGGGCCGCCGGCCGGCGCCUACUUAUUGGGUUCAGCGCGCCCGGAAGUCCCACCCUCCCUUCGCCAUGGGCCGCCGUCGCCGUCGCUCAUGACCACAGAGAAGCGCGGGGACCAAUAAAGGGAGGGGUUGGAGCAGAGUUAGUUAACGGGAUUGGAUAACGGAGCAGAAGUUCAGGGCGUGGCCUAGGGGCCAGUGGGCGGGGUGGAGGUUGUGGGACGUAAAAGACCAGCGGCCCAAGGGGCUACAGGGCGGAGCCUAGAGAGGAAUGGUGGGGCGGGGCUUCGAGUGGGACGCGGUCAGGAUUUGGGGCGGGGUGAAGGGGAUUAGAUUAAUUAGGCACUGAGACAGGGCGGGGCUUCAAUAGGAGAGGGGGCGGGGCCUAAGAGCGGGAUGUGGCCGUGGCCUCUGGGGUCACUGGGUGCGGUGGAGGCGAAAGGAAGAGGGAAACCAGUAGCAAGAAGCGAUGGGGCGGGGCCUAGGAAGGGCGGGACUUAAACAACCAUACUGUACAAGCUAUUGGAUGACAUCAGAUAAAAUGUAUCCAAUCAGCGUAGAAGACGGAUUAUUGACAGCCUAACAGAAUGAAGUUCAUUGGCUACACCUCGACCAAUGGCUGACAAGAGAACAGGACUAAAGCAUCAUGUCCUGGAACAUCUACUAAGUACUUCCUAGCUGCCUUCCUCACGGUGCUCUACUCCUGUCUCACUGUAGUUCUUGGACCAGAGUCCUCCACAGUUGUCUUAAAUAAAUGACUUCCCUGCUGUCCUCCA